CCUAAAUGUAAUUAAUAACUCUUAAGUGGGACAUAUAACACAAUAAAUAAACGAUGUAUCCAAUUCGAACAUUGGUUCAUAUCAUAUGCUUCCCAAAAACUGCAACAGUUUCAAUUAAUACAGAAGCAGCAUGUUGCAGUACAUAGGGAAAGUAGAUAAACACAAAGGGGGUUGAGCAACUACGUGUUGCAAAUCUUUGUGAAAAACCCUUUUAUAAAAUAGCAUGUAAAUUGUAU